rnacentral:rRNA from 1 species
CCUACGGGAGGCAGCAGUGGGGAAUCUUGCGCAAUGGGCGAAAGCCUGACGCAGCCAUGCCGCGUGAAUGAUGAAGGUCUUAGGAUUGUAAAAUUCUUUCACCGGGGACGAUAAUGACGGUACCCGGAGAAGAAGCCCCGGCUAACUUCGUGCCAGCAGCCGCGGUAAUACGAAGGGGGCUAGCGUUGCUCGGAAUUACUGGGCGUAAAGGGAGCGUAGGCGGAUAGUUUAGUCAGAGGUGAAAGCCCAGGGCUCAACCUUGGAAUUGCCUUUGAUACUGGCUAUCUUGAGUACGGAAGAGGUAUGUGGAACUCCGAGUGUAGAGGUGAAAUUCGUAGAUAUUCGGAAGAACACCAGUGGCGAAGGCGACAUACUGGUCCGUUACUGACGCUGAGGCUCGAAAGCGUGGGGAGCAAACAGGAUUAGAUACCCUGGUAGUCCACGCUGUAAACGAUAGAGUGCUAGUUGUCGGCAGGCAUGCCUGUCGGUGACGCAGCUAACGCAUUAAGCACUCCGCCUGGGGAGUACGGUCGCAAGAUUAAAACUCAAAUGAAAUUGACGG